AGUGAACGCUGGCGGUAGGCCUAACACAUGCAAGUCGAACGGCAGCACAGUAAGAGCUUGCUCUUACGGGUGGCGAGUGGCGGACGGGUGAGGAAUACAUCGGAAUCUACUUUUUCGUGGGGGAUAACGUAGGGAAACUUACGCUAAUACCGCAUACGACCUACGGGUGAAAGCAGGGGAUCUUCGGACCUUGCGCGAUUGAAUGAGCCGAUGUCGGAUUAGCUAGUUGGCGGGAUAAAGGCCCACCAAGGCGACGAUCCGUAGCUGGUCUGAGAGGAUGAUCAGCCACACUGGAACUGAGACACGGUCCAGACUCCUACGGGAGGCAGCAGUGGGGAAUAUUGGACAAUGGGCGCAAGCCUGAUCCAGCCAUACCGCGUGGGUGAAGAAGGCCUUCGGGUUGUAAAGCCCUUUUGUUGGGAAAGAAAAGCAGCAGGUUAAUACCCCGCUGUUCUGACGUUACCCAAAGAAUAAGCACCGGCUAACUUCGUG
rnacentral:rRNA from 1 species